GUGUGUGAUAAUAAUAUUUUUGUUCUUGAUUGUGUAGAAGAUUAUAAGACCUUAAGUCAUUGUGUAUCAAUAAUUAUUGUUAUAGUAAUUUUGUUUACUCUUCGGUGUUUUGUGCUAUCUCUACCAUAGUCUCCUACAGAAAAUAUUAACGAAAAAUCACGGUCAAAACGUACACCAGUAAAGUCACUUGUUCAACGAAAAAACUCCAGUAAAGAAGCAAGAAUUAUUCUAGACAGCAAUCUUCAUUCAAGCUGCCUUCAGUGAAAAUGUUUAUUAUGAAACCGUCCAACAAACCAACAUCAGUUUCAAUGAGUAAUUUUGUCGAUCAAUUUUAUGCUACAGAAAAACGGUUAGGAUCUCCCGUAACUCUGCCUAAGAGCAGAGAAAUGCUUUAUGAAUCAAGUUCUUAUGCACAACUUGCUCAAUGUAUUGAAUCUUUAAAGCAACAAUUACAAACAAGUUGUUUGAUGACAGUAUAAAAAGUGCUUUUUGUGGAACUAUGAACUUGGAUUAUAACUUCUCAGACUAAAUUUCCCUCUGCCGUCUCUUCGAGUAUUACGUAGAAUACAUGAAAAUAUUAUACGACAAAUAUGAUAACACAUAAGAACUGUUUUCUGCAAAUGACUAUCUCAUUCGAAUUCAGCAAAAUAUUGUAGUGAACAAGCAUGGAUGGACGUUAAUUAAUUCUACGACUUUUAGAUAACCAUGAGUAUGUGUAAUUAUUUUGUUACUAACACCAAGGGAUUGAUACAACAACAACAAGCUUACUACUCAAAAUUAUUAAAAUAGUUUUCAUAAAUAUAAUUGAGUUUUAGACUCGCAAGAUACAUUUGAUAACAUGAGAUCGAUGUUUAUGUUUUUUUAACAAAAGACAAGCUUUGCUCAGAAAAACUACUUGAUACAGUCGAGAGAUAUGCGUACGACAAGCCUGACCGAGAUGUUAAUUUUUAUUUUUUUGUUAGUUAUUUAGAUUGAAAUGACUAAAAUUAUGUAAUAUAAACAUAACAUAAUAAUAUCAAUGGCAUAGUGCACAAGUGUGUUGAAUGAUUUUUUUUUUGUUAUAAUUUUAAACAUUAUUAUGUAUUUAAUGAAGAACUUAUGGAUGGUUCUCUAGCAGCAGUAAUUUUUAGUCAGGCUAUUAUAGGUAAUAUAUAUACAAAUAAUAAUGUUUAAUUAGUAUUUUAAAAUGAUUUUUCUUCUAAAACAAUUAUUUUUUGCUAUGAUAUAUUUGACAAGUAUUUUUUAAGUAGAUAAUUUUAUACUUAUUAUG